rnacentral:rRNA from 1 species
UAAAAAAAUAUUAUUAUAUUUGUUUGAAAAGUUAAUUUUUUAAUAAAAUCAAUUUUAUUGAAUAAAAAUUUUAGUAAAGGUUAUUGAAAAAAUAAUUAAAAUUAUAAUUAAAUAGUAUUGUAAAAGAAAAUUGAAAUAUUUGAAAAUAAAUUAAUUUCAAAGUAAAUUUUAAGUAUUGUACCUUGUGUAUCAGGGUUUAUUAAUUAAAAUAUAAGAAUUUAUAUUUCCCGAUUUUAAGAGAUCUAAUAAGAUAUAUUAGUUUACGUAUUAUAGUAAUUAAGAAUAUUUUAUUUGAAAUGAAACGUUAUUCGUUCUUAAAUAUAUCUGGUUUUUUAAGAAAUAAAUUUAAUUUAUGUAAUAAAAAAUAUUUAUUUAUUUAUUGUAAUAAAUAAUUUUUAUUACAAAUAUUUUAAGGGAUUAGCUUUAAAAUAAAAUCUAUAAUAAUUAUUUAAAUAUAAAAUUUAUAGGCUUAGAAAUAGUCAUUAAUAAAAAAAAUGUUAUAAUUUAUUUUAUAAUUUAAAAUUAUUUUUAUAUAUUUAGAUUUUUUAUUAAAAUAUAAUUUAUAAUUAUAAUAAAUUAAAAAUAAUGAUAAAAUUAGUAUAAUUAUUUGUAUAGGUAUCAUUAAUUUAUAGAUUAAAUUAAGGAACUCGGCAAAUUAAUGCUCGCCUGUUUAACAAAAACAUGUCUUUUUGAAUAUAAUUUAAAGUCUAAUCUGCCCACUGAAAUUUUAAAGGGCCGCGGUAUUUUGACCGUGCAAAGGUAGCAUAAUAAUUAGUCUUUUAAUUGAGGGCUAGAAUGAAUGAUUGAACGAGGUAUUAACUGUCUCAAUUUAAAUGAAAUUUGAAUUUAACUUUUAAGUCAAAAGGCUUAAAUUUAAUUAAAGGACGAGAAGACCCUAUAGAGCUUUAUAUUUAUAUAAUAAUUAAUUUAUAGUAAUUUUUAAUUUUUAUUAAAUAAAAUAUUUUGUUGGGGUGACAAGAAGAUUUAAAAAACUCUUUUUAUUUUUAAACAUAAAUUAAUGAAUUAUUGAUCCAUUUUUAGUGAUUAAAAGACUAAGUUACCUUAGGGAUAACAGCGUAAUCUUUUUUAAGAGUUCUUAUCGACAAAAAGGGUUGCGACCUCGAUGUUGGAUUAAGGGUUAUUUUUGGGUGUAGAAGUUCAAAGUUUAGGUCUGUUCGACCUUUGAAUCCUUACAUGAUCUGAGUUCAGACCGGCGUAAGCCAGGUCGGUUUCUAUCCUUAAUUAUAUAAAAAUAUUUUAGUACGAAAGGACCAAAUAUUUAGAAUAAUUCUUUUUAAUUGAAUAUUAAUAAU